GACGAACGCUGGCGGCGUGCUUAACACAUGCAAGUCGAACGGAAAGGCCCUGCUUUUGUGGGUUGCUCGAGUGGCGAACGGGUGAGUAACACGUGAGUAACCUGCCCUUGACUUUGGGAUAACUUCAGGAAACUGGGGCUAAUACCGGAUAGGAUCUCCUGCUGCAUGGUGGGGGUUGGAAAGUUUCGGCGGUUGGGGAUGGACUCGCGGCUUAUCAGCUUGUUGGUGGGGUAGUUGCUUACCAAGGCUUUGACGGGUAGCCUGCCUGAGAGGGUUAACGGCCACAUUGGGACUGAGAUACGGCCCAGACUCGUACGGGAGGCAGCAGUGGGGAAUAUUGCACAAUGGGCGGAAGCCUGAUGCAGAAACGCCGCGUGCGGGAUGACGGCCUUCGGGUUGUAAACCGCUGUCGCAUGUGACGAAGAGUGAGUGACGGUAAUGGGUAAAGAAGCAACGGCUAACUACGUG
rnacentral:rRNA from 1 species